UGGGGAAUUUUGGACAAUGGGGGCAACCCUGAUCCGGCGACGCCGCGUGAAGGAUGAAGGUCUUCGGAUUGUAAACUUCUUUUGAAGGGGAUGAAUGUCUGCGUGAAUAACGCAGCGUGACAGUACUCUUCGAAUAAGCCACGGCUAACUACGUGCCAGCAGCCGCGGUAAUACGUAGGUGGCAAGCGAUACUCGGAAUCACUAGGCGUAAAGCGCAGGUAGGCGGUUUGGUAAGUCUUUUGUGAAAGCUCCUGGCUUAACUGGGAGAGGUCAAAGGAAACUGCCGGACUAGAGUUUGGUAGGGGAUACUGGAAUUCCUGGUGUAGCGGUGAAAUGCGUAGAUAUCAGGAGGAAUACCUAUGGCGAAAGCAGGUAUCUGGGCCACAACUGACGCUGAGCUGCGAAAGCUAGGGGAGCAAACAGGAUUAGAUACCCUCGUAGUCCCUGAGCGGGCUGGCAAGGCGCAU
rnacentral:rRNA from 1 species